ACACAGCCAUGUCGCCGCCUUGUGAC
rnacentral:sRNA from 1 species